rnacentral:pre_miRNA from 1 species
UAGGUUAAGGGGUUUGUUGUCUGGCUCGGGGCUCCCGGUCUUGAUCGAUGCGCGACUCCAUCUCCCUUCACCGGGGAGACGUGCGUUGCGUACGUUGACCGGGGAUCUCGGACCAGGCUUCAAUCCCUUUAACCAUGCGG